AACGAGAGUUUUCAAAGCAAGAUUGAUUGAUAUGUAGGACCGUGAAAUGUGUCCGCGUCCGCGUUAUAGAGGUGUUCGCUUAAUGGAGAUUCGCGUUUUGCUCCAGCAAAUUCCUAGCGAAGAGGAAAAGGCAGAGAUGCAGCGGGUUCGCCAGGACCUUGAAGAUAAGAAAAAAGAGCUUGAGAGGCUUGAAGUGCUUCGUCAAGAAAACGAGAGUCUCAAACAGAACGCCGCUCAGAGGCUUCAAGAGGCAAAAGAACAUCUAACUCGACAGCAUGACUUGGCCAUGACCCACGUUCAGAAAGACCACGAAGAAAAUGUAGCUAAUCACACAAUGGACCGUUUUUACGAUGUUGCGCGCGCAUCCAAAAUGCCACGGACUAGCGGGCCCUGGCCGAUCUAAAAUGACAUACGAAGUGGACUUUACAGAUAAACCUUCAGAAAAUGCUGUCAGAGUGCUUCUGUCGAGGAAUUUUGCAGUCAAAUGCCAGUCUGUGGCAUUUGGGAUGCGCGUGAAAACGGUCUAUUCGUGGGGACAGGGCGGAUAUGAUCCAUGUCCAGAAGAUAAUCACACAAUUCAUGGGACAGUGAGGUUUUUAUGGUGGAAUAUAGAAAUCGGACCAUUUGCAGUUAAUUUUAUCAGACAAAUACAAUAAUUAUAUGUGUUUUUUCUUGCAUACUCCUUUAGUCUAUUUAUUUUAGAUACUUUAUCUUUUUGCAUUUUAUAUCUGAGAGUAAAUGAUUACUUAAACCUAUAGCGUUAAUGUAAAUAUUUACGAUGUAGAAAACAGAAAAAAAGAGACAUUUGACAAACACUGAAGCAAUACCGUCACGAUUUGUGCUCGAUAUGUGCUUGUCUGAUUUUUCUCUAGAUUCGCGUUUUGCUCCAGCAUAUUCCUAGCGAAGAGGAAAAGGCAGAGAUGCAGCGGGUUCGCCAGGACCUUGAAGAUAAGAAAAAAGAGCUUGAGAGGCUUGAAGUGCUUCGUCAAGAAAACGAGAGUCUCAAACAGGUAAAGCAGAACCUCGCUAAACAGAACUCAAAUUUGUCACACGUACACUUUUCAGUUGCAACAUCUCUAUAAAAAAAUGGCAAAUCGCACGCGCAUGUCACACGUGAAGAUUUUUUUCUUCUUUCCGAGGUAAGUAAAACAUGCUAAAUCGACUUCAAAGAAGGAGUGUAAAAUUUAUAGAAUAAAUCACAGAACGAAGCUCGGAAGACACUAGUAACAGCAUUUGUAACCUCUACCCUCCACCCUCUCUAAGCCUACUUGAGGUCACCUCCCUCCCCUCUAGUUUCUUGUUGUUCAAAAUCCAGGAUACUAAAACUACAGACAAGCUGUAGAAUAAUUAGGUCGGUGUAGGCGUGGUAGAAUCAGGGAAAUAAAUCAAUUCAAAGUUGAAAUGGUAUGUUUUACGACUCUGUAAAAAACGGGAUGUUGUGAGUAGGGAUGUGGGUAGGUGUGUUGAUAGGCUGGUUGUACGUAUUGCUUAGAGUGAGAAUUAUAACAAUCAGCUUAAAACAAAACGCCGCUUAGAGGCUUCAAGAGGCAAAAGAACAUCUAACUCGACAGCAUGACUUGGCCAUGACCCACGUUCAGAAAGACCACGAAGAUAAUGUAGCUAAUCACACAAUGGACCGUUUUUACGAUGUUGCGCGCGCAUCCAAAAUGCCACGGACUAGCGGGCCCUGGCCGAUCUAAAAUGACAUACGAAGUGGACUUUACAGAUAAACCUUCAGAAAAUGCUGUCAGAGUGCUUCUGUCGAGGAAUUUUGCAGUCAAAUGCCAGUCUGUGGCAUUUGGGAUGCGCGUGAAAACGGUCUAUUCGUGGGGACAGGGCGGAUAUGAUCCAUGUCCAGAAGAUAAUCACACAAUUCAUGGGACAGUGAGGUUUUUAUGGUGGAAUAUAGAAAUCGGACCAUUUGCAGUUAAUUUUAUCAGACAAAUACAAGAAUUAUAUGUGUUUUUUCUUGCAUACUCCUUUAGUCUAUUUAUUUUAGAUACUUUAUCUUUUUGCAUUUUAUAUCUGAGAGUAAAUGAUUACUUAAACCUAUAGCGUUAAUGUAAAUAUUUACGAUGUAGAAAACAGAAAAAAAGAGACAUUUGACAAACACUGAAGCAAUACCGUCACGAUUUGUGCUCGAUAUGUGCUUGUCUGAUUUUUCUCUAGAUUCGCGUUUUGCUCCAGCAAAUUCCUAGCGAAGAGGAAAAGGCAGAGAUGCAGCGGGUUCGCCAGGACCUUGAAGUUAA